GCCCUCCAACACAAUGUUUAUUAUUUUCAUUACUAUUCCGUUUGAAAUAUUAUACAAUACUUUUUUUUUAAAUUAUUAAAAGCCCAAUGAUACCAGAUGACCACACUUAUUUAAGUAGUGCUGCGCCCGCUAGAUAAACCAACCUUCCACCUUCAUCAUCUGCUUUAUUUAAACCGAAAAAUAUAUUAGGAGCAAACACAUUGUUAAAUAGUCACUAGAUAUGUAUAUCGGGAUCUCCAUGAAACAUGUAGCUGAGUGCCAGACGGAGCAAUAAGCUCAGCAAAGGCCUGGUUUUAGAUAUACUAGGAAGCAAUGCACCUUGGAUUUUCUCAGUAU
rnacentral:sRNA from 1 species